CUCAACCUCCCAAAGUGGUGGGAUUACAGGUGUGAGUCACCAUGCCUGGCCACAAAUUCAUUUCUAAAGUAAAAAAUGAAACACUCAAUUUUACAUUUGCCUCCUGAAGACAAAUGAGAUGGCUGUUCUUAGAGCAUCUCUGAAGAAAAAUGCUGUAAAAUCUCAAAUGAUUAUUAUCUAGAAUUAGGAAAGCCAAGCCUCAAAGAAAAAUUCCUCUUAAUCAUUUGUUCAUCUCAAAAUAUUAUAAGUAAAAGUGUGGAAAAGCUUGCCAGGUUAUCAGAGAUUCUGACUUUCUUAUGUCCUAUCAGUUUACUGUCCUAUAGUUUACUUUUUAUAAAAGUAAGCUUCACAAGGACUCAUCUUUCUGCAAAAGAGAUAUUGAGAAGAUCAGUACAAUAUAUUUCUCACCAUGGUCUUAAAAAUAAUUGUGUGAUUAUUUGUUAUAACAAAAACCAGACUCUUAGAAUCCUUGAUUCUGAAAUAAGUUACUGGCAAAAAUGCCUUCACUGGAGGUAUUUUUAAAAAUAGGACAAAAUUUGGUGUCUUUAGAUUGAUAGAGGAAUAGUACUACUUGGGAGAACUGAAAUGGAUUAAAUGUUUCUUGCCAAACUUUAUUAUAUCUAUGUCCUUUGUUGGAAUGGAUAAUAAGGGGGUUUUGAGAGUUACAAGGAAUUGGCAACAGUUAAUUCUAUAAAAUAGGAACUCCAAAUGCAUGUAAGAUAUGUGGGAGGCCACACAGAUAUGGAACCAUCUGGCCUCUAUCCUGUUUGGCUGUCUGAGAGCGCCAGACUAUGCAGAAUACACAUUCAACUUUUAAACAUCCUCUUUGCAAUGUCUUCAGUCAACGAUGUCACACGCAGGUGUUAAUAUGGCGCUGUUCUUGGUUGCCCUGGCAAUUUGACAAAGUAAACUUGGAGUUUUAGCCCUUAAAAUGUACAGGUGCUAAAACUUUUUUAAAAAAAGAUUAGCUAUUUUGAGACUUCAAUAGAAUUUAACUAUUUUUAAAUGUCAAAGAAAAUCCAAAGUUCACUAAGAUGCAAUAAAGAAGUGAAAACAUUUUCUUCCCACAUUUAACGGAAGUGGUUUUACAUGCUCAAAAAGAGAUACUGACUUCAGGACCAGUGUUUUAGCAAUAAGGAAACUACUCAUAAGUAAAAAGUUCUACUUUUUAAAAACCCUGGAAAUGUCAUUACUAAAAUUGAUCACGUACCUAAUUACUUUUGGUUUUGAGUAACUUCUAGGGUGUUUAAAAAAUUAAACCCACCCUCACAGGACAGGGGUUUUCCACCAGUGAAUAUAAACAUAUAGAAAGGAAUAUGCUCUAGAGUUGGCACUCUGUUCUCAAAGGGGAGUCCCUCAAUUAGUUUGGUCAGUUUUUCUUUGAAGUAAAUCUAGUCUCUUCCAAGGUGAUACUUUGAUAAAGACAAUUAUUUUUCCAUCCGAGUUCUAUCAUGCACUCUUCUUGGAGUUGUAGUAUGGCUGCCAGCGCAUGCUUCUUUUUUCACAACCAGUAGGGGGAGCAAGAGUGCUUUUAUCGAGCAUUUGCAAGGAAAAGUUCCGGGAUUCAUCCUGACUGGUCUAGCUUAGGUCACAUACCAGUAAUUUUUGCUGGGGGAAUGGAUUCUGCAGCUUGGCUUAAACUAGACUGAAUUACUUCCAAAGUUAGAAGCAGGACUCAGUUUCCCGAAAGCUUUGUGGAGGAGAUGUGAAGAAUUCGUAUCCGGCCACUGCACUCCAGCCUGGGCGGCAGAGCGAGACUCUGUCUCAAAAAAAAAAAAAGGUGAAAAUACUGGAGUUUCAGAGUUUAAAGGUAAUGUAGAAAGUAAGCAAGUAGGCAUUGUCAGUAUCCUGAGGGAUCAUGUCUAAGAACUUUACGGAACCCAAAGGCAGAGGAGAGCCCGGAAAUGCUGGUGUCCUGAGGAACAUGCGGCAGAGGCACUGCUCUUCCUGGGCCCCUAGGGGCGCACCGCUGAGAAACAUCAAAAGCCGCUUCAGUUUGGCAGUCUGGAAAAGAUCUUCCAGCUGAAAUCAAGACUUCAAAAAGUCCAAUGUUGAAGCAGUUCUGAAUUGAGAUCUCGUAAUUCCCAAGGACAUAGUGAAUUGAGUUGGAAUUCCUGUACUGAACAUAGUUGAUAAAGCAUCAUGGCCAGCGCAUAAGUAAGUCCAGAUAAUGUGAGUAAGCAGAGACAAGCAAGGAUGUCUAUUUUCCCCCAUAUUUAAGACAAGUUUGCUGGCAGCUAAGCUGUGAGCAUGGUAAGCAGAUUUUCAAAAAGAACUAUUCUCAUUUAUAUAGCAUCCUUGUACAGUUGCACUGUUCUUUGUGUUUUACAUAUCGUAACUCAUUUGAUCCUGACAACUCCAUGGCAAGGUAGGAUUGUUGUUGUUAUCAUUUUAUUAAUGAGGAAAAUGUGGCUUAAUGACAUUAAGACAUUUGCCCAUGUUCCAGGACAAUUUAGGCAGAACCAGGAUUUGAAUUCAUGUCAUCCUGAAAACCAGUUUUUCAUUUGUCUCUUUGUUUCUGUUUUUUGUUUGU